rnacentral:rRNA from 1 species
GGCGGGACACGUGGUAUCCUGUCUGAAUAUGGGGGGACCAUCCUCCAAGGCUAAAUACUCCUGACUGACCGAUAGUGAACCAGUACCGUGAGGGAAAGGCGAAAAGAACCCCGGCGAGGGGAGUGAAAAAGAACCUGAAACCGUGUACGUACAAGCAGUGGGAGCACAGAGCAAUCUGUGUGACUGCGUACCUUUUGUAUAAUGGGUCAGCGACUUAUAUUCUGUAGCAAGGUUAACCGAAUAGGGGAGCCGAAGGGAAACCGAGUCUUAACUGGGCGUUAAGUUGCAGGGUAUAGACCCGAAACCCGGUGAUCUAGCCAUGGGCAGGUUGAAGGUUGGGUAACACUAACUGGAGGACCGAACCGACUAAUGUUGAAAAAUUAGCGGAUGACUUGUGGCUGGGGGUGAAAGGCCAAUCAAACCGGGAGAUAGCUGGUUCUCCCCGAAAGCUAUUUAGGUAGCGCCUCGUGAAUUCAUCUCCGGGGGUAGAGCACUGUUUCGGCAAGGGGGUCAUCCCGACUUACCAACCCGAUGCAAACUGCGAAUACCGGAGAAUGUUAUCACGGGAGACACACGGCGGGUGCUAACGUCCGUCGUGAAGAGGGAAACAACCCAGACCGCCAGCUAAGGUCCCAAAGUCAUGGUUAAGUGGGAAACGAUGUGGGAAGGCCCAGACAGCCAGGAUGUUGGCUUAGAAGCAGCCAUCAUUUAAAGAAAGCGUAAUAGCUCACUGGUCGAGUCGGCCUGCGCGGAAGAUGUAACGGGGCUAAACCAUGCACCGAAGCUGCGGCAGCGACACUGUGUGUUGUUGGGUAGGGGAGCGUUCUGUAAGCCUGUGAAGGUGUGCUGUGAGGCAUGCUGGAGGUAUCAGAAGUGCGAAUGCUGACAUAAGUAACGAUAAAGCGGGUGAAAAGCCCGCUCGCCGGAAGACCAAGGGUUCCUGUCCAACGUUAAUCGGGGCAGGGUGAGUCGACCCCUAAGGCGAGGCCGAAAGGCGUAGUCGAUGGGAAACAGGUUAAUAUUCCUGUACUUGGUGUUACUGCGAAGGGGGGACGGAGAAGGCUAUGUUGGCCGGGCGACGGUUGUCCCGGUUUAAGCGUGUAGGCUGGUUUUCCAGGCAAAUCCGGAAAAUCAAGGCUGAGGCGUGAUGACGAGGCACUACGGUGCUGAAGCAACAAAUGCCCUGCUUCCAGGAAAAGCCUCUAAGCAUCAGGUAACAUCAAAUCGUACCCCAAACCGACACAGGUGGUCAGGUAGAGAAUACCAAGGCGCUUGAGAGAACUCGGGUGAAGGAACUAGGCAAAAUGGUGCCGUAACUUCGGGAGAAGGCACGCUGAUAUGUAGGUGAAGUCCCUCGCGGAUGGAGCUGAAAUCAGUCGAAGAUACCAGCUGGCUGCAACUGUUUAUUAAAAACACAGCACUGUGCAAACACGAAAGUGGACGUAUACGGUGUGACGCCUGCCCGGUGCCGGAAGGUUAAUUGAUGGGGUCAGCGCAAGCGAAGCUCUUGAUCGAAGCCCCGGUAAACGGCGGCCGUAACUAUAACGGUCCUAAGGUAGCGAAAUUCCUUGUCGGGUAAGUUCCGACCUGCACGAAUGGCGUAAUGAUGGCCAGGCUGUCUCCACCCGAGACUCAGUGAAAUUGAACUCGCUGUGAAGAUGCAGUGUACCCGCGGCAAGACGGAAAGACCCCGUGAACCUUUACUAUAGCUUGACACUGAACAUUGAGCCUUGAUGUGUAGGAUAGGUGGGAGGCUUUGAAGUGUGGACGCCAGUCUGCAUGGAGCCGACCUUGAAAUACCACCCUUUAAUGUUUGAUGUUCUAACGUGGACCCGUGAUCCGGGUUGCGGACAGUGUCUGGUGGGUAGUUUGACUGGGGCGGUCUCCUCCUAAAGAGUAACGGAGGAGCACGAAGGUUGGCUAAUCCUGGUCGGACAUCAGGAGGUUAGUGCAAUGGCAUAAGCCAGCUUGACUGCGAGCGUGACGGCGCGAGCAGGUGCGAAAGCAGGUCAUAGUGAUCCGGUGGUUCUGAAUGGAAGGGCCAUCGCUCAACGGAUAAAAGGUACUCCGGGGAUAACAGGCUGAUACCGCCCAAGAGUUCAUAUCGACGGCGGUGUUUGGCACCUCGAUGUCGGCUCAUCACAUCCUGGGGCUGAAGUAGGUCCCAAGGGUAUGGCUGUUCGCCAUUUAAAGUGGUACGCGAGCUGGGUUUAGAACGUCGUGAGACAGUUCGGUCCCUAUCUGCCGUGGGCGCUGGAGAACUGAGGGGGGCUGCUCCUAGUACGAGAGGACCGGAGUGGACGCAUCACUGGUGUUCGGGUUGUCAUGCCAAUGGCACUGCCCGGUAGCUAAAUGCGGAAGAGAUAAGUGCUGAAAGCAUCUAAGCACGAAACUUGCCCCGAGAUGAGUUCUCCCUGACCCUUUAAGGGUCCUGAAGGAACGUUGAAGACGACGACGUUGAUAGGCCGGGUGUGUAAGCGCAGCGAUGCGUUGAGCUAACCGGUACUAAUGAACCGUGAGGCUUAACCUUACAACGCCGAAGGUGUUU